rnacentral:rRNA from 1 species
GACGAACGCUGGCGGCGUGCUUAACACAUGCAAGUCGAGCGGUUGACGGGAGCUUGCUCCCUGAUUCAGCGGCGGACGGGUGAGUAAUGCCUAGGAAUCUGCCUAUUAGUGGGGGACAACGUUUCGAAAGGAACGCUAAUACCGCAUACGUCCUACGGGAGAAAGCAGGGGACCUUCGGGCCUUGCGCUAAUAGAUGAGCCUAGGUCGGAUUAGCUUGUUGGUGAGGUAAUGGCUCACCAAGGCGACGAUCCGUAACUGGUCUGAGAGGAUGAUCAGUCACACUGGAACUGAGACACGGUCCAGACUCCUACGGGAGGCAGCAGUGGGGAAUAUUGGACAAUGGGCGAAAGCCUGAUCCAGCCAUGCCGCGUGUGUGAAGAAGGUCUUCGGAUUGUAAAGCACUUUAAGUUGGGAGGAAGGGUUGUAGAUUAAUACUCUGCAAUUUUGACGUUACCGACAGAAUAAGCACCGGCUAACUCUGUGCCAGCAGCCGCCGUAAAAC